rnacentral:rRNA from 1 species
AAGACCUUGCGCUGUUGGAGCGGCCGAUGUCUGAUUAGCUUGUUGGUGAGGUAAAGGCUUACCAAGGCUUCGAUCAGUAGCUGGUCUGAGAGGACGGCCAGCCACACUGGGACUGAGACACGGCCCAGACUCCUACGGGAGGCAGCAGUGGGGAAUUUUGGACAAUGGGGGCAACCCUGAUCCAGCCAUGCCGCGUGAGUGAAGAAGGCCUUCGGGUUGUAAAGCUCUUUCAGCCGGAACGAAACGGUUACGGUUAAUACCCGUGAUUACUGACGGUACCGGAAGAAGAAGCACCGGCUAACUACGUGCCAGCAGCCACGGUAAUACGUAGGGUGCGAGCGUUAAUCGGAAUUACUGGGCGUAAAGCGUGCGCAGGUGGUUUUGUAAGUCAGAUGUGAAAGCCCCGGGCUCAACCUGGGAACU